rnacentral:rRNA from 1 species
AUUGAACGCUGGCGGCAGGCUUAACACAUGCAAGUCGAGCGAGUGGCGGACGGGUGAGUAAUGUCUGGGAAACUGCCUGAUGGAGGGGGAUAACUACUGGAAACGGUAGCUAAUACCGCAUACCAUCGGAUGUUCCCAGAUGGGAUUAGCUAGUAGGUGGGUUAAUGGCUCACCUAGGCGACGAUCCCUAGCUGGUCUGAGAGGAUGACCAGCCACACUGGAACUGAGACACGGUCCAGACUCCUACGGGAGGCAGAAGUGGGGAAUAUUGCACAAUGGGCGCAAGCCGGAUGCAGCCAUGCCGCGUGUGUGAAGAAGGCCUUCGGGUUGUAAAGUACUUUCAGCGAGGAGGCGUUACUCGCAGAAGAAGCACCGGCUAACUCCGUGCCAGCAGCCGCGGUAAUUC